AUUGAACGCUGGCGGCAGGCCUAACACAUGCAAGUCGAGCGGAGCGGCGGACGGGUGAGUAAUGCCUAGCAAUCUGCCUGGUAGUGGGGGAUAACGUCCGGAAACGGGCGCUAAUACCUCCUACUAUCAGAUGAGCCUAGCUCGGAUUAGCUAGUUGGUGUGGUAAAGGCCUACCAAGGCGACGAUCCGUAACUGGUCUGAGAGGAUGAUCAGUCAAACUGGGACUGAGACACGGUCCAGACUCCUACGGGAGGCAGCAGUGGGGAAUAUUGGACAAGGGGCGAAAGCUUGAUCCAGCAAUGCCGCGUGUGUGAAGAAGGUCUUAGGAUUGUAAAGGACUUUAAGUUGGGAGGCGUUACCAACAGAAUAAGCACCGGCUAACUUCGGGCCAGCAGCCGCGGUAAUAC
rnacentral:rRNA from 1 species